GCUUUUGGUUAUAUUAAAACCCCUUGUUGAACUAUACCUGCUCCACUCUGUGUCCUGCGUUUGGGUCCUCCAACCUGCCUCCACACCACGAUCGUGACAGCGAGUGGAUUUGUUGUCUUCCUUCUCCCUGUACAAGCCUUAUUUCCAGCAUCAGCUGCAGCUGGUUUCAGUGAAAAGGCUCUAAAAACACCCUGUACACUACCUGUCUAGUAUUAAAUGACUAGCUGGUGACCAUAGCUAAUGGCUAGCUGCUAACGAGCCAGACGUUUUCCUACUUCCCCACCUACAAACACCGACCAAGCUGGGUGUGCUGCUGCCUGGAAAGGAACUCAUGACCUCGUUUCCAUUCACCCUCUGCAGCAGCCGACCACAGACAGGAAAGCAACUGAGCAAAGCAGACUCCUUUUUUCAUGUAGCCUAUCACACCCCUCUAAUAUUUAAUGUUCCGCUUUUUUAUCCUGUUCAGUAAAUACAGUUUCAGUACAUCGCUGUUCCUUCACUGCACCCUCUGUAUGAUGUCCUGCUGUCACGUGUUCAUCUCUGGUUCCUUUGCGUUUUAUAUUCUCAUGUAAAAGUGAAUGAUUUGAAGACUUCUCAAUAGCUCUGUUCACUUUGGCAUAAACCAGAAGAACUUAAUUUAUAACAUUAGAACAGAUGUUGUAGAAGUCCCCAACAAAGUAGUAAAUA